UACGAAGGGGGCUAGCGUUGCUCGGAAUCACUGGGCGUAAAGGGUGCGUAGGCGGGUCCUUAAGUCAGAGGUGAAAGCCUGGAGCUCAACUCCAGAACUGCCUUUGAUACUGAGGAUCUCGAGUUCGGGAGAGGUGAGUGGAACUGCGAGUGUAGAGGUGAAAUUCGUAGAUAUUCGCAAGAACACCAGUGGCGAAGGCGGCUCACUGGCCCGAUACUGACGCUGAGGCACGAAAGCGUGGGGAGCAAACAGGG
rnacentral:rRNA from 1 species